rnacentral:rRNA from 1 species
AGAGACAGCAGUAGCCGCGGUAAUACGAAGGGUGCAAGCGUUAAUCGGAAUUACUGGGCGUAAAGCGUGCGUAGGCGGUUUGUUAAGUCUGCUGUGAAAUCCCCGGGCUCAACCUGGGAAUGGCAGUGGAUACUGGCAAGCUAGAGUGUGUCAGAGGAUGGUGGAAUUCCCGGUGUAGCGGUGAAAUGCGUAGAGAUCGGGAGGAACAUCAGUGGCGAAGGCGGCCAUCUGGGACAACACUGACGCUGAGGCACGAAAGCGUGGGGAGCAAACAGGAUUAGAUACCCCUGUAGUCCCUGUCUCUUAUAC